AGGACAGCUCCGCGCGCCGCGUCCUCCCGCACCUGCGCCGCGGCCCCUGCGCUCGGCUCCUCCUGGCGGUCAAUCCUCUGAGCCGUCCCUCGAGGGAAGGUGUCCUGGGGUGGGUGAGACCCGGGUCCUCCUUCCCCGGGAGCUGCAGCCGGCACCCAAGCUCCCAGGCUUGGGUCUGCCCCAGGGCCGGAGCCUCCCCGGGCGACUCGGACAGACCCCGGUCCGGCAGAGAACCGCGGCGCCCCGCAAACAGCAGCCCUUCCGAGCCCGCGCCGCCGCCAGGCCCCCCGACACCCAGGCCCCAUUUAGGCGGGCGCCCCGCCACUCACCUGAGCGCUGUGCAGCCGGAGACGCUCCCUAGUUCCCCGGGGCCGGGCUCCGGGGUUAGCGCACAGAACCGGGAGAAGGCAACCCCGGCUUCUCCGGUACCCCCGCAACGUGCAGCUGACAGCUCCCGCACCGGCCGCAGGAGUCGGGGGCGGGGAUGGCCACUUGCAGACAGACUGCGGGGCCGGAGCCGCGCUGCGCACCGGCCGCGAAGCGCUCAAGUCCCCUCUCCCGGGCCGGCUGGCGGGCGCCACCAGCACGCGGCCAGUUCUGAGUACUUUGCCCAGAACUUCUCGGCGCGCGCCGCCCGGCGAUUAGCCCGAGGAGCCGCGCAAGGGCGGGAGCGCAGGGGAGGGGCCUGAGAGGCCCAGGGGCGGGGCCCCGAGGGGGCGGGAGGGCGGCAGAGUGAUGCACAAUCUCACCAAUCAGAAGUCGCCUUUCGGGAAGGAGGUGGGGCGAUGUCCUCGGAAGAAGCCAGCGGAUUCCAUGACGCGGCGGGGGAACUAGGGACCCCGGAUUCCGGAUGGGUUGGGAGGGCGGAGGGAGGCGAGUCCUGCGGCGAGGCACUGGGUGGGGCUCCCGGUGGCCCAGCUCGGUGCCUGCGCGCGGUAGGCGUUCGGUAAAUGUUCCUCUAGUGGCUUUUCCGGGCCAGGGAAGGAGGAAAAAGUGAGGGCAGCGCGGGAGGGGCAGGUUUACGGAGAAGGCUCCAGGGGACCCUUGCGGUCGCACAGGCUAGGAGAACUCGACCUCCCGAGAAAGUCAGACUGUGGCAGAGGAGUCGAGAACAGAGGAAAUACAUAGGGAGGCAGCACUCUAGGCACGAGAUGACAAAGGACAGCAUCAGUGUGAGACCCGGGGCUCGGAGACCGUGACCCUACCUCCAGAGGCAGUCGUGCAGAUUCGUGCCGGGGUGAUUUUGUUCUGUGCAGUUUAUGUGCAAGGGGGUAGGAGGUGGGGAGAGCACCGUCGUUACUAUUAAAUCUCCCUGAAAGACGGAAAAGUCCACCCGACUUGACUUCCCACUAGCCCAAUGGCCUUCUUUGAUCCUAGGACGAAUGCAAGCAGCUGAUGGUUUGGGGUCAGUUUGCAGACUGCAAAUGUGUCGAGUGCCGCAGGUGGCGGGUGGGAAGGGCAUGAGCAUUUAGUGAGCACCUAGUAUAUGCCAGGAGCAGUUGCGAGCUUGCAACUGUGAGAAAGGCGCACCAGGCUCCAGUACUCACGGGGCUUGCAUUUUUUGUGGAAAGACAGACAAUAAAGAAGAGAAAAUACAUAUCUAUGCAAAAAAUAAAAGGCUGACAGACUGUUAGUACUGAGAGGAGGGCCAAGUCCACUUUCGAAAGUGGUUUAGCGCGUGAUGGGGCGCUCACCCUGAGGGCCUCUAGGCGAGGGUGGCUUUUACCCAGAUUCCUGAGCCUGGGAAAGGAGCUGCCACACCCAGUCUCGCACAGAGCGUUCCAGGCGAAGGGAAUAGCAAAUACAGGGUAUUUAGCCUCCCUGAAGACCCAACUAACCGACCUCACCGAGCUGGGCACCGCGCGUGGCUCGCUGGGCUCAGCGCCUGGGACGGAGUAAGGGCUCCACAGUGUUAAAUCCCCCUGCCAACCACCACCUGCAGCGCUCGACGCAUUUUCAGUCUCCAAACUGACCCCAAUUCAAGGUUUCUGAGACUCUUUCCGGAGCUAUUCUGUUCACAUUUCAUUCACCACGCUCAGAUCUUCGCUUUCUGGAACCAUCCCCCUCGCGAAAUGUCUGGGACUGUCUGUUUCGGAUCUGGCAGGCGGCGGGCGAGGGCGGGAGGCGCCAGAGAUGCUGCCGAGCAAAUCCACUGUCAUGCUGCCCACGUCGGCACACGGAGAAGCUUAUUGGAGAAGAUUUCAAAUCGAAUGACUCCGCGGUUCCUAAACCACCUCGCAAAGCCCGACCAGCGCCAGGUGGCUGGACGGGUAGUGGAAGGACGCGUCUGGCAGGCGCGCGGACCGUCCAAGGAGGCACCUUGCCCACGCCCAGCCCCGCCGUCGGAGCAGCUUAGACUGGGUUUUCCCAAACCUCCUUCCGUCUUUCUGUAAUUUCUCUCUGAGAGAGGCUUGCUCUGUCCUCCUCCUGCCAGUCCCUUUCCUCGUUCAAGCUAUUUUCUUUCUUUUUCUUUUGCUCUCCACCUUCAGCCUCUCCGCCUGUUUCUUUAGCAUUGGUUUUUCUGUAGGAGACAAGCCUUCAAUCCGAAAGGAAGUGAUUUGCAUAGGGCUUUGUUGUUUAGCAUCCCGUUCCGAGCUUUUUCAUUAAUGUCUUCCUAAUCAAAUAAUAAUAGAGUGUACAUUCUCUCUCUCUCUCUCUCUCUCUGUGUGUGUGUGUGUGUGUGUGUGUGUGUGUGUGUGUGUGUGUGUACUUGAGGCAGUUAAUUGGACAGGAUGAGAGAAUUAUUCACAUUGUGCCUUGUCUCCAAGUAAAGGAGGAAUCGUACUGUGGCUUUUCAUAGUUUCAUUUCCUCUUCUACUCCUAAAUAAACUUCCAGGCUCUCCAGCUCCUAAAAUCAAAAGGAAAAAAU
rnacentral:lncRNA from 10 species